GCAGAGCUGGCGGAGUGGUCAAACGCGCCCGGCUUGAGACCGGGUUCCUUCUGGAACGGGGGUUCGAAUCCCUCGCUCUGCG
rnacentral:tRNA from 1 species